AGCCGAAGGGAAACCGACAGUCCGCAGCCGCAAGGGUCAGGGACGGGGUGCGCUCGCCCGAAGUCAUGAGUGGAAUACCCGAAGCCAAUCGAUCUAAGCGUGGGUAGGUUGAAGCCUGCUGAAAGGUAGGUGGAGGACCGAACCGGUGUUGACGUGCAAAUCACUCGGAUGACCCGUGCUUAGGGGUGAAAGGCCAAUCUAGACUGGGAAUGGCUGGUUCCUCCUGAAACUACUCGCAGGUAGGUCUCGGCCGAGCUGGCACGGAAGGUAGAGCACCGAUUAUGGGAAGCGGGACCGAAAGGUCUCGGCCUGUUGUCGAACUCCGAAGUUCCGUGCGGUGAAGACGCCGGGAGUGAGCGCGGCAGGGGUAAGCCCGCCGUGCGAAAGGGAAUGCAACCCAGCCUCGCAUUAAGGGCCCCAAGUGCCGGUUAAGUGUCAUGCAAAGGGCGUCCGUGUCCCAAGACAACUGGGAGGUGGGCUCAGAAGCAGCCAUCCUUCAAAGAGUGCGUAACAGCUCACCAGUCGAGGACAUGGGCACCGAAAAUGGACGGGGCUAAACCGGCCCCCGAUAUGCGGGCGCGCCGCAACCGCGGCGAUCGUGUAAGGAGGCGUGGUGCUCGGGUAGAAGUAGGGGCGUGAGUUCCUAUGGACCGGGUUCCAUCGAAAAUCCUGGGAGGAGUAGCAGCAAAGACGGGUGAGAAUCCCGUCCGCCGUAGGGGCCAGGGUUCCACGGCAACGAUCAUCCGCCGUGGGUUAGUCGAUCCUAAGUGAGUCCUUAAUCGGAACUCGCGAAAGGAGACACGGUUAAUAUUCCGUGACC
rnacentral:rRNA from 1 species